AUUGAACGCUGGCGGUAUGCUUAACACAUGCAAGUCGAACGGUAGCAGGCCUUCGGGCGCUGACGAGUGGCGGACGGGUGAGUAACGCGUAGGAAUCUGCCUCAUAGUGGGGGACAACGUGGGGAAACUCACGCUAAUACCGCAUACGCCCUACGGGGAAAGCGGGGGAUCUUCGGACCUCGCGCUAUGAGAUGAGCCUGCGUUAGAUUAGCUAGUUGGUAGGGUAAAGGCCUACCAAGGCGACGAUCUAUAGCUGGUCUGAGAGGACGAUCAGCCACACUGGGACUGAGACACGGCCCAGACUCCUACGGGAGGCAGCAGUGGGGAAUAUUGGACAAUGGGCGCAAGCCUGAUCCAGCAAUACCGCGUGUGUGAAGAAGGCCUUAGGGUUGUAAAGCACUUUCAAUUGGGAGGAAAACCUGUCGGUCAAUACCCGGCAGCUUGACAUUACCUUUAGAAGAAGCACCGGCUAACUCCGUGCCAGCAGCCG
rnacentral:rRNA from 1 species